rnacentral:rRNA from 1 species
UGGGGAAUAUUGGACAAUGGGCGAAAGCCUGAUCCAGCCAUGCCGCGUGUGUGAAGAAGGUCUUCGGAUUGUAAAGCACUUUAAGUUGGGAGGAAGGGCAGUAAGCGAAUACCUUGCUGUUUUGACGUUACCGACAGAAUAAGCACCGGCUAACUCUGUGCCAGCAGCCGCGGUAAUACAGAGGGUGCAAGCGUUAAUCGGAAUUACUGGGCGUAAAGCGCGCGUAGGUGGUUCGUUAAGUUGAAUGUGAAAGCCCCGGGCUCAACCUGGGAACUGCAUCCAAAACUGUCGGGCUAGAGUAGGGCAGAGGGUGGGGGAAUUUCCUGUGUAGCGGUGAAAUGCGUAGAUAUAGGAAGGAACACCAGUGGCGAAGGCGACCACCUGGGCUCAUACUGACACUGAGGUGCGAAAGCGUGGGGAGCAAACAGG